GGAGCCUGAGAAACGGCUACCACAUCUAAGGAAGGCAGCAGGCGCGCAAAUUACCCAAUGAAAACAGUUUCGAGGUAGUGACGAGAAAUAACAAUACAGGGCAUUUUAUGCUCUGUAAUUGGAAUGAUGGGAAUUUAAACCCCUUUCAGAGUAACAAUUGGAGGGCAAGUCUGGUGCCAGCAGCCGCGGUAAUUCCAGCUCCAAUAGCGUAUAUUAGAGUUGUUGCAGUUAAAAAGCUCGUAGUUGGAUUUCUGCUUUGACUAUCUGGUUCUGCCCGUAUGGGUGUGCAACUGGUUUUAGUCUUUGCUUCCUUCCGGUUGCCUUCUUCGCUUCAUUGUGUUAGUUGGUUUUUCCGGAACUUUUACUUUGAGAAAAAUAGAGUGUUUCAAGCAGGCUUGUCGCCUUGAAUACUUCAGCAUGGAAUAAUAAGAUAGGACUUUGGUUCUAUUUUGUUGGUUUCUAGAACUAAAGUAAUGAUUAAUAGGGACAGUUGGGGGCAUUCGU
rnacentral:rRNA from 1 species